GCCGAAGUGGUGGAACUUGGUAGACACGCUAUCUUGAGGGGGUAGUGGGCACAACCCGUGCGGGUUCAAAUCCCGCCUUCGGCACCA
rnacentral:tRNA from 1 species